rnacentral:rRNA from 1 species
GCGAAAACUUUACAAUGCUGGCAACAGCGAUAAGGGAACCUCGAGUGCCAGGUUACAAAUCUGGCUGUCGAGAUGCCUAAAAAGCAUUUCAUAGCAAGGGCCGGGCAAGACCGGUGCCAGCCGCCGCGGUAACACCGGUGGCUCGAGUGGUAACCGUUAUUAUUGGGUCUAAAGGGUCUGUAGCCGGCCGGAUAAGUCUCUUGAGAAAUCUGGCAGCUUAACUGUCAGGCUUUCAGGAGAUACUGUCUGGCUCGAGGCCGGGAGAGGUGAGAGGUACUUCAGGGGUAGGGGUGAAAUCUUGUAAUCCUUGAAGGACCACCAGUGGCGAAGGCGUCUCACCAGAACGGACCUGACGGCAAGGGACGAAAGCUAGGGGGCACGAACC